CACGUAGGGGGCAAGCGUUGUCCGGAAUCAUUGGGCGUAAAGCGCGUGUAGGCGGUUCGGUAAGUCUGCUGUGAAAGUCCAGGGCUCAACCCUGGGAUGCCGGUGGAUACUGUCGGACUAGAGUACGGAAGAGGCGAGUGGAAUUCCCGGUGUAGCGGUGAAAUGCGCAGAUAUCGGGAGGAACACCAAUUGCGAAGGCAGCUCGCUGGGACGUCACUGACGCUGAGGCGCGAAAGCGUGGGGAGCGAACAGG
rnacentral:rRNA from 1 species